AGAGUUUGAUCCUGGCUCAGGAUGAACGCUAGCGGCAGGCCUAAUACAUGCAAGUCGAACGGUAAGUAUGAUAGCAAUAUUAUACGAGAGUGACGUACGGGUGCGUAACACGUAUGCAACCUACCCUUUACAGGCGGAUAGCUCGGGGAAACUCGAAUUAACCCGUCAUAAUAUAAUUGGAUGGCAUCAUUUGAUUAUUAAAACUCCGGUGGUAAAGGAUGGGCAUGCGUCUGAUUAGUUAGUUGGCGGGGUAACGGCCCACCAAGACGAUGAUCAGUAGGGGAACUGAGAGGUUGAUCCCCCACACUGGCACUGAGACACGGCCCAGACUCCUACGGGAGGCAGCAGUGGGGAAUAUUGGACAAUGGGCGAAAGCCUGAUCCAGCAAUACCGCGUGUGUGAAGAAGGCCUUAGGGUUGUAAAGCACUUUCAAUUGGAAGGAAAACCUCGUGGCUAAUAUCCACGAGCUUGACAUUACCUUUAGAAGAAGCACCGGCUAACUCCGUGCCAGCAGCCGCGGUAAUACGGAGGGUGCAAGCGUUAAUCGGAAUUACUGGGCGUAAAGCGUGCGUAGGCGGCUCGUUAAGUCAGAUGUGAAAGCCCUGGGCUCAACCUGGGAACUGCAUUUGAAACUGGCGAGCUAGAGUUUAAGAGAGGUAAGUGGAAUUUCAGGUGUAGCGGUGAAAUGCGUAGAGAUCUGAAGGAACACCAGUGGCGAAGGCGACUUACUGGCUUAAAACUGACGCUGAGGUACGAAAGCGUGGGUAGCAAACAGGAUUAGAUACCCUGGUAGUCC
rnacentral:rRNA from 1 species